rnacentral:lncRNA from 1 species
UGCCGGCCGCCUGGCCACUGCUCUGCCGCGCUGUGAUGGCUCUUCAAAGAGAUUUAUGUAUGUUUUUAAAAGAAUUAUUUAUGUAUUUGAAAGUCAGAGUUACGCAGAGGGAGGGAGGGAGAGAGAGAGAGAGAGAGAGAGAGAUGUCUUCCACCCGCUGGUUCACUCCCCAAUUGGUUGCAAUGGCUGGAGCUGCUCCGAUCUGAAGCCAGGAGCCAGGAGCUUCUUCCAGGUCUCCCUCUCGGGUCCAGGAGCCCAAGGACUUGGGCCAUUUUCUACUGCUUUCCCAGGCCAGAGCAGAGACCUGGAUCUGAAGUGGAGCAGCUGGGUCUCAAACCUGCGCCCAGAUAGGAUGCCAGCGCUUCAGGCCAAGGCGUUAACCCACUGCACCACAGCACCAGCCCCAAGAUUUAUGUAUUUUGAAAAGCAUGAGCCGCGGCGCCGGCCAACUGCUGUCUUUCUAGAGUUGGGCUUCGGGCAGGUUCUGCGACAGCGUCUCUGAAGUCCCCGUUCCCAUCCCAGAGUCGGGCUUCUCGAAGGUUCUGCCCCAGUAUCCUUGAAGUCCUUUGGUUUCCCAGUGAUUUGUUAUCGGUGCCUUCUUCUUUCUUCUUUCUUCUUUCUUCUUUCUUCUUUCUUCUUUCUUCUUUCUUCUUCUUCUUCUUCAUUUAUUUGAAAGUCAGAGUUACACAGUUUCAAAGAGAGAGAAGGAGAGGCACAGAGCGAGAGAGGUCUUCCAUCCGCUGGUUCACUCCCCAUUUCGCCAUAACGGCCGGAGCUGAGCCGAUCCGAAGCCAGGAGUCCAGAGCUUCUUCCAGGUCUCCCACGUGGGUGCGGGACACAAGGACUUGGGUCAUCUUCCACUGCUUUCCCAGACCAUAGCAGAGAGCUGGAUCAGAAGUGGAACAGCUGGGACUCAAACCAGCACCCGUAUGGGAUGCUGGCACCACAAGCAGCGGCUUAACCCACUACGCCACAGCGCCAGUCCCGGUGCCUUCUAUAAAGAAGGAUGACAGAUGCUCCGUAAAUUGAUCUGAUCUGUGUGAAGUUUGAUCACACGUUUGGUGGUGCCUUCCUGUAAAACCCCAGAAAGAAGGGCUUGAGACAGCGCGCUUGGCUCCCCCUCCCGCAGACAGUGUUGCCGCGAAACGAUGGAGCUGCUGCCGUUUCGCCAGGACCCACUCUGGGCAGCAAGGAGAGGAGUGUGCGCCUCAUCUGCAGGACAGGCGUGCGUGUGAGGCGUGAGCCUGCGGGAACCCGCCCACUGACGGGGUUUCGCUACGUUGGCAGCUGGAGCUACGUGGUCGGAAGAUAGCACUUUCCCCUGCCGUGGGAGUCGUGGCCGGGGACACGGGUGCCUGGAGCUGGGCUGGUGUGUGCACGGGUCCUGGGUUCAGAGGGUGUGUGCUGGGGUUCUGGGAAGGCGAGCUUCACUUCGUCAUUUUCAUCAGUAGUUAAAAGGGAAGUGUAAGGGUAUUAUGAUAAGGAUUAUGGUGAUAAGGAUA